rnacentral:rRNA from 1 species
GGUAGCUUGCUACCUGCCGGCGAGUGGCGAACGGGUGAGUAAUACAUCGGAACGUGCCCUGUAGUGGGGGAUAACUAGUCGAAAGACUAGCUAAUACCGCAUACGACCUGAGGGUGAAAGUGGGGGACCGCAAGGCCUCAUGCUAUAGGAGCGGCCGAUGUCUGAUUAGCUAGUUGGUGGGGUAAAGGCCCACCAAGGCGACGAUCAGUAGCUGGUCUGAGAGGACGAUCAGCCACACUGGGACUGAGACACGGCCCAGACUCCUACGGGAGGCAGCAGUGG